AACGAACGCUGGCGGCAGGCCUAACACAUGCAAGUCGAGCGAACCCUUCGGGGUUAGCGGCGGACGGGUUAGUAACGCGUGGGAAUAUGCCCAAAGGUACGGAAUAGCCUCGGGAAACUGAGAGUAAUACCGUAUGUGCCCUUCGGGGAAAGGAUUUAUCGCCUUUGGAUUAGCCCGCGUUGGAUUAGGUAGUUGGUGGGGUAAUGGCCUACCAAGCCGACGAUCCAUAGCUGGUUUGAGAGGAUGAUCAGCAACACUGGAACUGAGACACGGUCCAGACUCCUACGGGAGGCAGCAGUGGGGAA
rnacentral:rRNA from 1 species